rnacentral:rRNA from 1 species
UACAGAGGGUGCAAGCGUUAAUCGGAAUUACUGGGCGUAAAGGGUGCGUAGACGGUUAUUUAAGUCAGACGUGAAAGCCCAGGGCUCAACCUUGGAAUUGCAUUUGAGACUGAAUAGCUAGGGUGCGGAAGAGGGAAGCGGAAUUCCCGGUGUAGUGGUGAAAUGCGUAGAUAUCGGGAGGAACACCAGUGGCGAAGGCGGCUUCCUGGCCUGUUCUUGACGCUGAGGCGCGAAAGCUAGGGGAGCAAACGGG